rnacentral:lncRNA from 1 species
AGCGAUUAGAGGGAAUCCGCUCAGCGGCAAAACUAACUAAGGGAUUGGGUUAAGGGUAGACUAGAAAGUUUGCAUGACAAUUGGAUAAAUAAGUGUGGAUAAGAUGAAAUUGUAAACCCCAACAACAUCAUUCAUCCAUAGUUCUUCAAAGCCAAUUGAAUCAACUGCAUUUGCAUGUUUAUUUUUGUUCUUUGCAUAUAACCACCAACUUAAUUCUUCUCUCAAGUCUUACGCGAUUUGUUUACAUGAAAAGUAAGGCCUAA